rnacentral:rRNA from 1 species
ACGCUCGACACCUACGGGAGUCAGCAGUGGGGAAUAUUGCACAAUGGAGGAAACUCUGAUGCAGCGAUGCCGCGUGAGGGAAGAAGGUUUUCGGAUUGUAAACCUCUGUCUUUGGGGACGAUAAUGACGGUACCCAAGGAGGAAGCUCCGGCUAACUACGUGUCAGCAGCCGCGGUAAUCUGAGCGGGCUGGCAAGGC